GAUGAACGCUGGCGGCGUGCCUAAUACAUGCAAGUCGAGCGAACGGACGAGAAUCUUGCUUCUCUGAUGUUAGCGGCGGACGGGUGAGUAAAACGUGGAUAACCUACCUAUAAGACUGGGAUAACUUCGGGAAACCGUAGCUAAUACCGGAUAAUAUUUUGAACCGCAUUGUUCAAAAGUGAAAGACGGUCUUGCUGUCACUUAUAGAUGGAUCCGCGCUGCAUUAGCUAGUUGGUAAGGUAACGGCCUACCAAGGCAACGAUGCAUAUCCGACCUGAGAGGGUGAUCGGCCACACUGGAACUGAGACACGGUCCAGACUCCUACGGGAGGCAGCAGUAGGGAAUCUUCCGCAAUGGGCGAAAGCCUGACGGAGCAACGCCGCGUGAGUGAUGAAGGUCUUCGGAUCGUAAAACUCUGUUAUUAGGGAAGAACAUAUGUGUAAGUAACUGUGCACAUCUUGACGGUACCUAAUCAGAAAGCCACGGCUAACUACGUG
rnacentral:rRNA from 1 species